GGAAAUUAAAAAAUAAAAAAUAAACAAAAAAAGCCCCAAAAACCAAAAAUGAGCGCUUUAAUGAGCCUCACGUAGCUAGGGAUGCGCAGGGAAGGCUGUGUUUGGCUAAACGCCUUUUACGAAGAGGUUAAAUCCUGGCUGUCCCGGGCUGAGGCCGCGAGAAAACUACUGCAGAGCCGGAGUAAAAACUCCGCGUCUGCUGGCGGGCUGCAGCCUUGGGAGCGCUCCGGGCCAUCGCCAUUCCCGCUCUGCAGGGCGGAGCUGCGGGAUUAGAGGACAGGGAGCGGAGCUGCUCCCGCGGAAGGAGGGCGGGCGGUGCGGAGCGGGAAGCUGCUGCCCCCCCGUCCCCCCCUCACCGCCUCACAACGCGCGGGAUUUUCAAACUCUGCCCCUGGCCAAUGGCAGCCGUCCCUUGGCUCUGGCCAAUCACAGCGCGCUGGCGGCUAUAAAUAUCGGCCGCUGUGGCCGCUUAUCGCUCAGUGUUCUUUCGCUUUCCUGCCGCGGCUGUUGUGUGAGCGAUGGCUCGUACGAAGCAGACGGCGCGUAAGUCGACGGGCGGGAAGGCGCCCCGCAAGCAGCUGGCCACCAAGGCUGCCCGCAAGAGCGCGCCGGCCACGGGCGGCGUCAAGAAGCCGCACCGCUACCGGCCCGGCACGGUGGCGCUGCGCGAGAUCCGGCGCUACCAGAAGUCCACGGAGCUGCUGAUCCGCAAGCUGCCCUUCCAGCGCCUGGUGCGCGAGAUCGCGCAGGACUUCAAGACCGACCUGCGCUUCCAGAGCUCGGCCGUCAUGGCGCUGCAGGAGGCCAGCGAGGCCUACCUGGUGGGGCUCUUCGAGGACACCAACCUGUGCGCCAUCCACGCCAAGCGCGUCACCAUCAUGCCCAAGGACAUCCAGCUGGCCCGCCGCAUCCGCGGCGAGCGCGCAUAAACUGCUGGCAAACGGAGACUUCUGAUCAGCGAAAACCCAAAGGCUCUUUUAAGAGCCACCACCACGUCACUUAAAGAGCUGUAAAUUCCUACUUACAGGUAAAAAGUUACGCUUUUCGCAGGCAGCGACAUUUCACGUCUCAAAUUACCACCGGGAUUGCGGAAAUGAAUUUUAGAGAGAGCAAACUCAUUUCAUGUUACUGAGACGGCCGAAGAUCUGUCUACCUGGAGCUGUUUGCAUCUGCUUAUCAUAAUAAAACAAAUUAUUAAAUCAAGUAAAAUAGCUUCUUCUAAUACUUUAGAAGAUGUUUUGUAUUUUAUAUAAGCCAUCGAUCAGAGUAGUUACAUUUCAGCAAAAUGUAGCAUCAGAAAUGAUACUGUUUGGUUUGGUUUUGGGCUUUUUGGAAUAUUCAAGAAAGAAAUUAUUUUUGAGCGGCGAGACAGGGAAAUAGGUUUUAUUUGCCUUAAUCUCUUGUUAUUUCUCCUCUAGUCUUAUGAAGACUUCAUACUGUUUUGCUAAAUUACGUUAUUUGGAUUUACUCAGAGGGAGUUGUGAGCUUGAAUUAAAAAAAAAAAAAAAAAAACCACUAAUUUCAUCAGCUGAGAAAGAAAGAUGUGCAAUGCACAGGUAACUUAGUGCACGAUUCCCUAAUCCAAGUGAGAACAAAAGUGGAGGUUCCUCUGGUGCAAGCAAGGUUCAGCUGCAUUUCUUUGCUUUUUGCAGGGGAACCUGAGAUAAAAGAAUGCUGCCCAGUCAGAGCUGGAUGUGAGCAAGACCUCUGUGCUGAGCAGCUGAGGAUUGGCUUGAGAGCUGCUGUUUGCAAUCAAGGUGCUUUUGCAGGUGAUUUUAGAUGAUCUGGCUAGGACUCCUCCUGGCCCUUUAGCCAUCCUUCAUGGAUGAGCCGGCUCAAAUUAAAAUCAUGGCUUGAAAGAAUGUUCUUAUCAGUCCAGUGGGUAAAACAGAGCCUAGCUACUGAUAUCCUGGUGAAAAACUUCAUUUCAUCCAAAUACAUAGAAUGUUAGAUUACAGCAUCUUUCUAGAACAAAAAUACUUCAAUCAGUCCUAUUUGACAGCUAUUAGUUUCUUUAACAAUCUGAACAGAGAUAUAUACAUAUGAAAUCAAUGUUUAAUUUGAAUUAACUAUUGUAAUGUAAAUAUUUUAUGAAUGUGGUUUCCAUGCAGCCAGUAUGCAAGGUAGGUCCUAAACACAUUUUCAUUUUCAAAUCCUUCUUGUGGGCUUCUUCACAGUCUGAAUCACCUGUUGGUUGCAGUCCUCAGUAACCAGCAAGAGAGAAGUUUGAACUCUGCCAGUGCAGCUCUGCUCCAGCCCUGCCCUGCUGCAUCAUUGCCUCUCUUCUCUCUCUUGAGUCAUAUUUUAUCUUCAAGAUGGGUUUCAGCAUGUUUCAGAUGAUAGUUGUGCAACAACAUCAUCACAACAAUAUAAACUUUUAUUAAGAUAUCAUAUAUUAGAAAGUAUUUUGUCAGCUACUCCUGUUAUGGAAUUAAUUUCACUGGCCACAAUAACAGUGGGUCCUGAUCAGUCUGAUCCUAGGAUGCUGCUGAUUACUGCACUUUUCCAAGUUAAGGUUUCCAGUGUGUCUUUUAUUUGUUCUCAGGUUCCAGCUUGAGCUGGGUGGAUAUGUAGAGUGACCACUACACCAAAAAUUAACCUUCAAUCCCACACAGGCCACCCAACACUCACCUCCCAAGCCCAUCACUUGCUUCUGGUCCUUUGUCUCUGUUCUUUGUUUUUUUGGGAGACUGUUUGUGUUUUUCAUCUGACAUUACCUCAAUUCUUGAAGUUGUUUCCUUGGUCCUUCCUUACCUUUUUCAUUCUGUUUUGGGCAAGUUGUAGGUAAGCAUCAUUAGCUUUUA